rnacentral:rRNA from 1 species
GACGAACGCUGGCGGCGUGCUUAACACAUGCAAGUCGAACGGAAAGGCCCAGCUUGCUGGGUGCUCGAGUGGCGAACGGGUGAGUAACACGUGGGUGAUCUGCCCCUAACUUCGGGAUAAGCUUGGGAAACUGGGUCUAAUACCGGAUAGGACAAUCGUUUAGUGUCGGUUGUGGAAAGUUUUUUCGGUUAGGGAUGAGCCCGCGGCCUAUCAGCUUGUUGGUGGGGUAAUGGCCUACCAAGGCGUCGACGGGUAGCCGGCCUGAGAGGGUGGACGGCCACAUUGGGACUGAGAUACGGCCCAGACUCCUACGGGAGGCAGCAGUGGGGAAUAUUGCACAAUGGGCGCAAGCCUGAUGCAGCGACGCCGCGUGGGGGAUGACGGCCUUCGGGUUGUAAACCUCUUUCGACAGGGACGAAGCUUUGGUGACGGUACCUGUAUAAGAAGCACCGGCUAGCUACGUG